AUUCUGUCUGUAGCCUCCCAUUCCUCCCUGCUUUCCCCAGCUGCAUCUACCUGGAUCCUGAAUUUGAACCAAGUGGUCCAAACGGCCCGGUCACCUGAGCAACCCCUCUGCAGGAACCGCAGGCACAAUAAUGGAUAUGAAGGUGUGACAAAAUUGUUGGCAUCAGAUGAGGUAAAAGAUUUGUACAAAAACAAAAAAGCACAAAAACUGGAAGCAGUCUGGAGUCUGUCAACAGGAGAAUGGAUGAAUAAGGGAACUAUCUGAUUGUGGCCUAUUUGAUGGAAUAUUACUCUGCAAUCAAAAGGAACAGACUGAGACUGAUACACGCAGCAUGGAUGAGUCUUCAGGACAUUGUGUCAAGUAAGAGAAGUCAGAUUCAAAAGAUGAAGUCCUUUCCUGAGCACUUACUACAUGCCAGACACCAUACCAGGGCUGGCUACAUACUCUGUUGGGAAGAAGGCUCAAAAAUGAAUCCUCUCAAGCAGACCCGCUUUGGUUUCCACCCCUCUAUUCUGAGAACCCAAGCUCAACCCAUGUGUUCUGCCUUCAGGUAGAAAAUGUCAGAAUCAUAGGGAAGACUAAGCUGAAAAAAGAAUUUGGAGUUCCAAAGGAAUUCUGUGCCACCUGCCGUCCGGCAAUUCCCUUUGCCAGGUAAUGGCAUGACAGUAAAGACGCACUCUGUUCUGAAUAAGCAGAGAACCGGCUUGGCCUAGGACUUACGUUGAGUGUUACCAGAUGGUGCUGUGCAGCUCCAGGCUCUUAGUGUCCUGACCGAAGAAUUGGACGAGAUACACACAGAUAGCAAAGCAGCAAAAGUGUAUGACGCAUAGUAUUACACUCCCAGAGAGGGGAGAGUGGACUGACCUCUGCGAAAUGAGAUCAACGUCAAUUUGGUGUACUUUGAAUUCUUUUAUAUAUUUUUUCUCUUCUGUGGCCAAGACUGCCUGAUGUCUAGCCAGUGUCUGCCUUUUGAUGGACAGGUGGGCUGCUUAGUUAUUUAAUACUAUGGCCCGUGUGCGCUUGUGACUUCUUGCGAGUCACCUCCAUCCCAUAAUUUUAAGUACGUGCAUAAUAUGCAGUCCAUAUGCAUGAACCUUAAGUAGCUAAUUACCAUACGGGAACAUUUUAAGGAUAUGUUUUCUGUCUAACGUGCAUGCUCAUCUCUGAGGAGCUGCCCCUGACAGGUUUGGUCCAGAUCUAGGCGGCCAUGUGGGCUCCUUACUCACUUUUUUAAAAUCUCACUUUUGUUUUGGCUGCUCAGCCUCUGCUUCAUAUCUCACUUCUUGCUCACUCGCCCCUUCACCUUGCUUCUGCUCUCAUGCUCUCACUCAUUCUUCCUGUAUCCAGUCUCUGGUUCCCUCUCUACCAUCUCCUGCCUCAAAAGUGCUGCUCAGCAUAUAAUUUCUCUUUGUAAGUUGUGGUUCUUGAUUUUGGGAAAUGAGUUUCCAUCUUGCUGAACUUCUUAACUAGAGAAUACUGUUGGGAUGUGUCUACAUCUAUGUGACACUACUGGGAUCCCUUGAAUCCUAUUUAGAGUCUAAAAGAGGGACAUUGUUACUUAAAGGCGGUGGCCAUUUAGCUGUCCCUCUUAGAUUUGGUUCAUAUAAUUUCUGAUUUUCAUGUCAGAUUAUAAUCUGUAAACUCCUACUCAGGUCACUGCACCACUUUGAUGGAAUUUCCAUUCCCUUUGUCCUCAAGAUUUGUCUAAAGAUAUUUGGCUUUGACAGAAUUUUGGGUUCUUCAGUUUUCUUUUUAAUUAUAAAAUAUACAUACAAAUGAACAUUAAGCAUAUGUAGUUGUGUGAGUAAUUAUAAAACAAACUUAAUGUAUCACCAAAUCAAAGAAUAGCUCAUUGCCCCAGAAGCAACCCCAGUCCCCUAAUAACAACCCCUCCCUUUCUCCCUCUCUCCAGAAAUGAGCCAUAUAAUACCUCUUGUGCAAAUUACUUUUUUGCUUUUCUCUAGAUUUUUUUCCUUUUUUGUAGGCAUUCCUGAAGGAUAUAAGUUGGUUUCGUCUGUUUUGAACUUUCUAUAAACAGGGUCUUACCAAAGAUAAUUUUUUUGUCUUAUUUAUUUUUCUUAAUUUUAUGUAGUUGUAGGUUGUUCAUUAGUGUGUAAUUUUCUACUCUAGGAAUUUGCAACAAUGGGUGUAUUCAUUCUAAUGAUGAUGGAUAUUAGUCUUGUUUCUAGUUUGGGGAUAUUAUGAACAAUGUAUUUAUAAUCCUUUCUGCACACAUGACCUUGGUAAUUCGUGUAUCUGGGUGUAUACCUUGAAAUGCAAUGGUGGAGUCAUAAGUCAUAUAUUUCAACUUUGCUAGUUCAUGCCUGUUUUUCAAAGUGGUUGUACCAGUUUACAUUUCUGCCAGCAGUGUACAAGAGUUCCCAUUGCUCCACAUCCUAACCAACACUUGGUAUUGCCAGACUUUAAUUUUUGUGGAAUAUUGUGGAUUUAGUUCAUGUUAUCUUAUUGAGGUUUUAAUUUGACUACCUGGUUUAUUGAUGAGGUUGAACACAUUUCCACUAUUUAUUGGCCAUUUGGGCUUCCUCUUAUGUACAGUGUCAGAUCUUUGGCAAUUUUUUCUGUUGGGUUGUCCGCCUUAAUGAUUUUUAAGAAUUCUUCAUGUGAAAUUGCUGACACUUGACCAUUUUUGACUUACAAAAAAUGGCAGUUUCAUAUGAUUCAAUUUAACACCUUCUGGAAUUGGUCCUUUGUUAUUUAUGUGUUGACUAAUAUUUUAUCAGAUUAUGUGGCUUAUCUUUUCAUUUCCUUCCUUCGUUUUUUGAGAAUCAGAAAGUUUUAACAUUAGUGGAUUUGGACUUAUCAGUCCUUUUCUUUAUGGCUGGUGCUUUUUAUGUCUUGUUUGAGAAAUCCUUGUCUUUGAGGCUAAAGGUGACCAGAUUGUGCUGGGGGACUGGGGCUGCAUUCUCAGGGCAUUCUACUUUGGGCCCUGGGUCACAUUGCCUCUGCUGGGGAGGAGGCAGGUUUCUCUGUGCCCCUAGCCUUGACUGGGUGGGGGAGGGAGGAGAGGCCACUCCUGGGCUCUUUGUAGGGUAGCACUCAUGUUUUCAAGAAGAUCCUUUCCUGUAGAUUGUUUCCACACUGUUCUUUCAAGUGCAGAGGGUCUUCCUAAUGAAUCGGCAGCCCUGCAUCUCACUGGGCCAGGGUUGGGGCAGGAGUAGGCCAGCAUCACGGUGGAUGUUCAGCUAGGGUGGGCUGUGACGGGGGUUGGCUCCAGCUCAGAACUGGAAAUCCUGUUUGCUGAAUUGUGUGUCCUAGCCGAUGAGGUGGGACAAGGAGAAACUGGCUGAAGACAGUGAAACAGUAGGAAAAACCCUGCCUGCCCUGUAACUCUGGGGCCUGGGGGAUGUAAUGGUGUGAUUCUGACUAGUUGGCUGGAGCAGAGCAGGUAGCCUGGGGCGCGCCAGACGAAGACUGGAAAAUGUCAUGGCUUUUUGGCCCUCACUCCUCAACGUCACUGUGGGUUGGGGGAGGCAGGGGACUGUCCAACCUGUUCACAGUUCCCUUUCCAGUGCUGACAGUGCCUGCCACAUGAGAGAUAUUAAUACACAUUUGUUCAAUUAAUGAAUUAAUAUUUUUCACAUAAUUUCAUGAAAGAGUUAAUGUUUUCUUUUCUAUUUCUUUCCCUGGGGAAAACUUUUUGUAGCCCCUAGGCGGCAGAAUUAAUCACAUCUAGCUGGCUUGUGAUACGGAACCAGGCUUUUGAAUUUAAAAUUAAUCUUGUUCUAAUUCUGUUUUUGAACUUGUUAAUCAUUAAGGUCCUAAGAAACAUUGGCAGAGUAAAACUGAAAUAAAGACCUGGUAAAUUACUUUCUCAGGCUAAAGAAGGUAUGAAUUUUUCUUCUAAGUGCUUCUAAAUCAGUCCUUUAAUGGUUAGGUUGGAUGUAAAUUCUUACCAUUCUUCAGUCAGAUAAAUGAAUGUCAACCCAGUUUUUCCUUCUGCUGGAAAAUGGUCUUUUACUCUCAGAAUCUGGCAACCUCCUUUGUGUCUCGUGUCUGGAGGGUCAGAGUCUGGGAAAGCAGCUCCCCUCCACCCCACUUCUCAGGCCUUCUCCCAGCUUCCCAGCUUCUCUCCCUGCAGCCACCCUGCCCCCUCCCAAACUGCCUCGGAAAGUCCCAUGUCUCGGGUUUUCUCUUCUGUAGGAAAUCAGAUGUCGUGCCACCGCAACCUUUCAUUCAAAAUAAAAAUUCAAAAGCAAUUUGUGUAUUUGAAAACACAUCUAAACCACAGGCUUGAAGUUCCUGUUUUGAUGGGGAAAAUGAAUAUUCCCAUCUGGAGAUAACUUUGGGACGUUGAGAUAGAGACAGGCAAAUUCAUCUCAAACUCAUUAUUAUUUUAGAUUCUUAUCAUUAUCAAUUAUUAUUAUAGCAAAACUCAUCAUUUUUUCUGUGUACAAUUUGUGAAUUUUAACAUAUGUACAGAUUCAUGUAACCAACACCAUGAUCAGGAUAAAGAACAGUAUUGUCACCCCACAAAUCUUCCUUGGGGGGUCCCUUUUUCAGUCACAUGCUCUUCCCAGCCCUAACCACAGGGAACCAUUGAGUUGUUUUCCAUCACUAUAAUUUUUCCAUUUUGAGAGUAUCAUAUCAGUGGAAUCAUGCAGUACGUAACCUUUGGGGACUGGCCUCUUUACCUCAGCAUAAUGAUGUUAAGAUUAUAAUCUGUAAACUCCUACUCAGGUCAUUGCACCACUUUGAUGGAAUUUCCAUUCCCUUUGUCCUCAAGAUUUGUCUAAAGAUAUUUGACUUUGACAGAAUUUUGGGUUCUUCAGUUUUCUUUUUAAUUAUAAAAUAUACAUACAAAUGAACAUUAAGCAUAUAUAGUUGUGUGAAUAAUUAUAAAACAAACUUAAUGUAUCACCAAAUCAAGGAAUAGCUCAUUGCCCCAGAAACACCCCCAACCCCCACAUCAUUCAUGUGAUUGUGUGUAUCAAUAGUUUAUUCCUUUUAUUGCUAGUAGUAUUCCAGUGUAUGGAUGUUCCUACAGUUUAUCCAUUCACCCAUGCAAGGACAUUUGUGUUGCUUCCAGUUUUUUGGUAAUUAUAAAUGGAGCUGCUAUAAACAUUCACAUACAGAUUUUUGUGUAAACAUGAGCUUUAAUUUUUUAGGGUAAAUAUCAUGGAGUGUGAUCACUGAGUCAUAAGAUGUAGGGUUAAAUUUGGAAGAAGCUGCCAAAGCAUUUUCUAGAGUGACUGUACCAUUUUGCAUUCUGGCCAACAUCUGGUAUUGUCUGUGUUUUCUAUUUGACCUGCUCUAAUUUGUGUGUAGUGGCAUCUGAUCAUGGUUUUAAUUUGUAUUUACUUAAUGCCUAGUGGUGUUGAUCAUUUUUUCAUGUAGUUAUUUGUCAUCCGAGUAUCUUCUUCGGGGAAGUGUCUAAGUCUUGCUCAUUUCUAAAACUUGGGUUUCUUGCUUUCUGUUGAGUUUUGAGAGUUCUUUAUAUAUUCUGGUUAAGUUCUUAA